rnacentral:rRNA from 1 species
GAGUUUGAUCCUGGCUCAGGACGAACGCUGGCGGCGUGCCUAAUACAUGCAAGUCGAGCGAACCGACGGGAGCUUGCUCCCUUAGGUUAGCGGCGGACGGGUGAGUAACACGUGGGUAACCUGCCUGUAAGACUGGGAUAACUCCGGGAAACCGGGGCUAAUACCGGAUGCUUGAUUGAACCGCAUGGUUCAAUUAUAAAAGGUGGCUUUUAGCUACCACUUACAGAUGGACCCGCGGCGCAUUAGCUAGUUGGUGAGGUAACGGCUCACCAAGGCGACGAUGCGUAGCCGACCUGAGAGGGUGAUCGGCCACACUGGGACUGAGACACGGCCCAGACUCCUACGGGAGGCAGCAGUAGGGAAUCUUCCGCAAUGGACGAAAGUCUGACGGAGCAACGCCGCGUGAGUGAUGAAGGUUUUCGGAUCGUAAAACUCUGUUGUUAGGGAAGAACAAGUACCGUUCGAACAGGGCGGUACCUUGACGGUACCUAACCAGAAAGCCACGGCUAACUACGUGCCAGCAGCCGCGGUAAUACGUAGGUGGCAAGCGUUGUCCGGAAUUAUUGGGCGUAAAGCGCGCGCAGGCGGUUUCUUAAGUCUGAUGUGAAAGCCCCCGGCUCAACCGGGGAGGGUCAUUGGAAACUGGGGAACU